AGCUCAUCAUCACUGGUGUAUGAUUUCUUAAGUACUGAUGAACUGCUUCUUUGAAAGGAUUGGUUUCCAGUCUCUCCCAGAAAGGUUUUAAUGGACCUUACUGAAGGAGGUAAAUAUGUAGUGGGUGAUGCAGUGAACGGGACAGUCGAGAUAGAUUCUUCAGGAGUAUCCUCAGCAUCCUCAGAAUCCAGUGCCCUAAGGACCUCCGGGGGAACAGGGGUUGGACAGAAUUCAUCUGGAACAAAACCACUGAGCACCCUACUGAUCAAAGUAGGACCAAGUAUAGGACAAACCUCUUUCCUAGUUUGAGGAUCGGCGAGCAUUUCAAAGGGAAGCAUCAUUAGAUCACUUAGAGCAUUGAGCAGACGGAAAGGCUUGGCGGGACCUUGUGCCUUGUCUUCAUUAUCACCUGAGGCAUCAUUUUCCUCAAUUCCAAAGAGAGUAGAUAGCCAUCUAGACCAGUCCCCAAUAGCAUUUUUUAGUUGAGCACCGGCGCCAAAGCUUGAUUUCCCUGCAGGGAUUGGGAGGACCUUAGAAUCAAAAAUGGGAUCUGAUACUGGAUCUGUUGGCAUUUCUUCAGCUGAUUCACGGAGGAUUGCAUUGAACAUAGCCACAUCCAAUCUACUCACCAACUGUUCCAUUACCAAUCUAGCCGGCAAUGGCAAGCAGCCACACUCAUGUCCUCCUGCCCUAACUGGGCAAAGCCUUUCACAGGCAUCUUUGAAAGCCUUCUUCCAGAGCUCAAUGGAGAAAUUACCUUGCUCUUGAUCCCCUAAACUAGACCUGCGUCCAUAGGUUUUCUUAACACUUGAGCUCAUUGAUCUGCCGCCCGAGUUUGCAGCUGUAUUUUGCAUGUGUGGAGUCAAAGUCUGCCACCACACAGAUUCCACAAUGCGGGAGAAAAUCCAAGCUUCAACUUGUUCCAGUGCAAGCAUAAAGGUUUCAAUAUCUUCCCAGUCACUGAGUUCUUCUGUUAGACUAUCGUUGACACCUUUAUUGAAAGAAACCUCAUUCCCUUUUUUCAAGGAUCUUCCAUUUAAACUAGUUUUGCCCAUAUUGCUCUCCGCAUAUGGUCUAUCAUCUUCUCUCCUUCCUCCCGCAGCCUGGCUAACAAUUGCUCUCAACAUGACUGAAUUCGACAACCAAAAAGUUAACCUCGGAACAUCAUUUCCGCAAGCUUUUGAAACCAAAACUAAACCUGAGACAGCAGCUUUUGCAGCACCUGCCUGUUUAGCUCGGGAUUUUGCUCUGCAAGCAUGAACAUAAAAUCGAGAAAGGCGCCGAGCAGGAGCAUGGACCUUGUGUGCAGAACUGCCAUGCUCAGCCACUACCGAAUAAAGGCUAACCUCGACAACUGCCGCUUCCCUUAGUUCUUCCUCAAGUGUCUCUAUUCUAGACUUCCCUUCAUUUUUUCUGUCAGGAGAUCCAUUCAUUGGUUUAUUACCUUUACCAUUAGACCGAGCAUCUUCCGAAACAUGCUGUUUUGCAGACUUCUCUAGAUUCUGGCUGUUACCAGGAAGUCCACUUCUGUUAGCAUGCUUUGAUUUACCAUUGGUGAUGCUUGAUCCCUGCAAUCCAAGUACCUUAUUCGAAUUAAGAGUAUCACCUUUCAAAAAACUGUGUUUCCUACCUGAUUUGACUUCUGAAAAAUGAGGAAUCUCUUUUAAACUCCCUUCAUCCUGAUCAAUCUCUAGAAGCUCCAUCCCUUUUCCGUUCACCAUAUCAACAUGUAAAUCUUUGAGUAUUGUACUUCCCGUGUGGCCCUUUGGUUUAUCUCGGAAGUCUUGACAGCGAUCGCUAUAUGAAUCGGCAGGGUCAGUGUUAUCCUCAUUCGAUUCAUCGAGAUAGCUUGUGUUGGAUGCAAAUCUAUGAACACGUCCAUUUUCUGCAGAGAGUUUGAUACCGUCUUUGGGGAGACCUUUCUUGUCAGCAUUAUCUUCUUGAACAUCAUACAUCAGACUUUGCUGCUCGAGGGCUGUCACAGAGGUGCUUGCCUUCACGUUUUUAUUUCCAUAACUUUGUAAUGAGGAAGAGGAUCCUGCUACUUGGGAAGCAGACUUCUUCUGUAUUGAUGUCAUACUUCUUUCAGAAAAUUUAGACAAAGAAGUGGUGUUACUCACAUAAUUUUCUCUGUUUAAAGAUAUGCUACUUGACAACCCUGGAGCCACAUUUCUAGAACUUCUACUUGUAGAAUCCAUGAGCAUUGCUGCAGAGUCCAUUCCCAAAAGUAUAUCACGUUCUGGAUUGUCCCUCAGCACGUUAUCAGUUAUGAAUUCAUGUGCAACCUUUCCUUGCUGAGAUGGUGAAAACCUUGCAGCCUCAGCAACAUUUUGCGAUGAAUGUGACGAUUCAUCAUCAUCAGUGAAAGAUGCAAUCUCAUCAUCAUCCUCAUUUCUUCCAUUCACUGAAUCUGCAACGGAUUCUUGUCCAUCCCCUUCUCUGGAUACACCAAUUUGUGAUGAACUUGAGCUACCCCUCUCAGUAGGAUGUAUGCUAACAAACAGAGCUGGUUGCUCAGAGCUCUUAGAACUCUUCUUGCAGCUGACUGGAGUGUAAAUAGACACAACCUCCUCAAUCAGUCCAAAAUCUGCAAGAUUUAUUACUGAUGUCCCCAAG
rnacentral:misc_RNA from 1 species